rnacentral:rRNA from 1 species
AUUGAACGCUGGCGGCAGGCCUAACACAUGCAAGUCGAGCGAGCGGCGGACGGGUGAGUAAUGCCUAGGAAACUGCCUGAUGGAGGGGGAUAACUACUGGAAACGGUAGCUAAUACCGCAUACCAUCAGAUGUGCCCAGAUGGGAUUAGCUAGUAGGUGGGGUAACGGCUCACCUAGGCGACGAGCCCUAGCUGGUCUGAGAGGAUGACCGGCCACACGGGAACUGAGACACGGUCCAGACUCCUACGGGAGGCAGCAGGGGGGAAUAUUGAACAAUGGGCGAAAGCCUGAUGCAGCCAGGCCGCGUGUGUGAAGAAGGCCUUAGGGUUGGAAAGCACUUUCAGCGGGGAGGCGUUAACCGCAGAAGAAGCACCGGCUAACUCCGUGCCAGCAGCCGCGGUAAUUC